GGGAGAACAACACAGCAUCUCUACCUGAACUUUAAAAUUCAACAGAAAGAUCAACUCAUCAGCAAUAAUUAGUCUGGAGUCAACAGAUGGUCAGACAGAUGGAAUGCUAUGUCCAUUUGUGGACAACACAUUUUAGAAGGAUCAGAAAGGGUGAUCAAGAUUGCCCCAGCAUGAUAUGGUGGGAAAAGCUCUAAAGUUAGAGGAUCUGGAAGUUCCAAAUCUCUCCUCUGGCCUUUGCCACCUUUGUAAUUUUGGGUGGUUUCUGCCCUCCAUGGAGAGUUGUCUGUCAUCAUUGCAAGAGAUUUGUCAUUUCCUUGAGGUGGCACCUAUGAGGGCAAAUCACAGUCCAAUCACCAUUUUUCCUUGUUACUUGUUCUCCCAUAAUUCCUCCACAUGAUGGUCACCAACCUACUUUUGUGUGUGGACUGGAAGCAGAAUACCAACCUCCUCCGAUGCCUUCCUUUGUUUGGGCAGAAAUUGGACUUGAAGAACUCCACUUUACAUGGCUGCUCUGUCCAGUUUCAACUCUGUGCAACAAGAUACAUACUAGGUACCCGAAGGUGUCCCAUUUCCCACCUCAUCCCUUUCCACCUUCAAUUUCCCAUCUCAUUUCCUACUUUCUUUUAUAUGUGGAUUGUAUGUGGGAUUGUAAACCAUUGACAAUUGGGGCUGUUUCUUUUUAUUCAUUGACUCUCCAGCACUUAGCACAGUGCUUGGCAUAUUGUAAAUGAUCAAUAAAUGUUUAUUGGAUUAGAUUGGUGGCUGCUCCCA